rnacentral:rRNA from 1 species
AGAGAGAGACAUGCGCGCAUAUCAAUAAGCGGAGGAAAAGAAACUAACUAGGAUUCCCUCAGUAACGGCGAGUGAAGCGGGAAGAGCUCAAAUUUGAAAUCCUCAAGGUUCUACCUUGACGAAUUGUAGUUUAAAGAAGUGUUUUCUGUUGAAGUUUUGGUAAAAGUUCUUUGGAAUAGGACAUCAUAGAGGGUGAGAAUCCCGUAUUUGACCUUUACUUUCAACUUUGUGAUACACUUUCAAAGAGUCGGAUUGUUUGGGAAUGCAGUCCAAAAUGGGUGGUAAAUUUCAUCUAAAGCUAAAUAUUGGCGAGAGACCGAUAGCGAACAAGUACCGUGAGGGAAAGAUGAAAAGAACUUUGAAAAGAGAGUUAAACAAGUACGUGAAAUUGUCAAAAGGGAAGCGUUUGACACCAGUGUUGUUUUCUCGAAAAUCAAUUAAAAAAGGCAGGAUUUUGUGUUGUAUUGACUUUAUCAGCUUUCUGCACUCCUUUCUUGUCUUUUUUAAUGCACUUUUCGUUUAACAAGUCAACAUCAAUUUCUUUUGUUGUAAAAGGGUCAUUGGAAGGUGGCUUUCUUUUCGGAGAAAGUGUUUAUAGCCUUUGGCCUCUGCAAUCGGAGAGAUUGAGGUCUGCAGCGUAGAUCCUUCGGGGUUAGAUACAUUUGUGCUAAGUUAUAGCCUUUCAUAGACAACUUGUUGACUAUGAUCAGUCAUGUAGCUUACUCGCUUAUGCUAUUUUACCUACGCUUAGGAUGUUGAUGUGAUACUGCGAGC